rnacentral:lncRNA from 1 species
CAAGGCCGGACAGCCCCCAAAAAGAGGACAUGUCAGGGUAAAAGAGGAGAUAUGGUCAUCCUAGGUUUUGACAAAGAAAAACAGCCAAUAUUCUGUUUAAAAGGUAGUAAGCAUAUCCUUAAAAUCAGCACAGGAGGACAUGCAUUAAAGGAACAUUGCAAAGUUUUCUUCAUAAGCACUAGACUAACACAGAAGGAUUAUUGUGCAGGUUCAGGUCCAGUCGCUCACCUUCCUGUUUGUUUUCUGAUUACAUAACCAGUGACGCCAUUCAGGCUAUUAUAAGACAGUUCAUCACCUCCAUAAUAAAGUGCUAUAUUUAUUAUAGGAGAUGUGAAACUACACACCUGAUAUGACCACUGUGUACAGUCCACACACACACAAAUGUCUCUUAUGAAACAUGACUCACAUUAAUUUCCUGUGGCUGCAGUGAUGGCAGAUCCUCCGGGGGGUGGUUCGCCUUUGAGCGGCUUCCUGGGAGCGCUCAGGUGGGUGCAGCCACAGCCGAGCGCCCGCUACGACUCAUUCACUUGUAAAUUGGGGGAAAUAACAGGAGCAGAUGUUCUCAUUAUUUCUACUCGGCCCAGGAGCUCCACCGGCAGUCAGUGUUUUGGACAAUUUUCAACAACCUCUCAUUUUGCAGAGAAUUGUGCCCCCGGUUUUUCCACGGCUCCUGGGCGGCUGCUGAUGACAGGCAGAGUGAGGAAAACAUGUCUGACUCUGCCGCCGCCGCGGUUCAUGUGUGUGUAACACUGCAGAAAUGAGGGAGCAGUCCAAAGGUAUUUUUGUGUACAAAGAUGGAUAACACAUCCUCACCUCAUUUCCUUCAAAAGCGGAGCCUUGAGACCGCCUGAUGGGCGCAGGAAUCUCAUGCAUUUGAAGCCGGAGUCUGCAGGUAUUAACAGCUGUAGGAUUAAACACGCCUUUGACACACUGAUUAACAGUUAGCUCACAGGUGCGCCCGUUCUCUUUAGCAUCAGAUUAGUCAUUAAAACGAAACUCAACAGAAACCCGAGCGCUCAGACGUGAAUCACCAACCUGAACUGCAGGAGAGCACGUUUCCAAUCGAUCAGUGUUCAUCCAUCUGAAAAAGAGAAAUACAACAUUUAAGAGAGUAAACGCAGGAAAUAACUGACUAGGGUUUAAGUAAGCAGAAAGGUAAUAUUAACUCACAUGAAGCAACAACCUACUUAACCAAUUAGAAAACACAACUCUUCAAAACACAAAUAAAGAUGAUAGAAAUGAUCGAAAAGAAUGAAAGUGAGUUUUUAGAAACUUUAAUUUGACAAGAAUUUUGACUUUAUAGUUCUAAUCUGUUAAAGGUGGUGUAGUCAGGAUCUGAGUUAGUUCCAGUUUUUAGGAGAAAUCUUGAAUGUAAACUCUACCCCUCCCAACCAGUUUUCCCCUCAGCUCCUCCUCUCCCCUCCCUCUCUUAAGCCCCGCCCACAAACAGACGCUCCUGCUCGCUCGUAUCGUUCCAAUUAAAUUCAGAUAUAAUGCAGAUAAAUACUUCAGAUCAUUACAAAUGGGGCCCAGUCAAGGUGAAAGUCAAAAGCAUUGGUGCUACUGUAGAUGCCAACAGACUACCAGCAAACACAAUGUUUGCAGGACUUCUACAACGAGGAUAAAGUGACAUAGUCCAGGACCCGAGGGAGGACAGUUUAGCGAUGGCGCUACAACACGCUACAGCAGGUCCGUUUGACAAGAAACACUUCUGUUACAGACACUUGUCUUACUUUGUUAAAGCGGUUUACCUGUCCAGCAGAAAGGUUACAGGGUCACCAAGAUCCCCAAGCGUCCCCCAUCGUUUAUGUUGACCCGGCUCUUUAGCUCUUGUCCGGUCUACCUCCGUUUUAAGCGCCCGUUAUUCCUCCAGAGUCUCCGGUAUUUACUUUGUUUUCUUGCUUGUGUUUUCCGUACUCUCUGGUUGGUUUCUAAGUUCAGUACUGCCGUCUAAGGAGAUGCUGAUUUCACUGAAUGCUGCUAUUAGAGGUACCUGGACUUCGGUGUUUUAACUCCAGGUGAUCUGAACCAGAGUCUGAUUCAAAGCGAACCAAGGCCCCUCUUUUGAAGCAGCCUCUGUACGAUGUUGUGGUCCACAUCGUAUCAAAGUUUCAGAGGACGACUUCUAAUAUUCCAGAGUUCAACGUCUGAAAAUCCCAACACUGACACGACAUUUAGGCCAAGCUGUCCUUCUUUACUGUAACUCUCACACAGAGCUGUGUCUAUGUUAUUCAAAAUGAUUAGAGCCUCAAGAAGAGAAACAUUUAAUUACAGGAGGGAGAUUUUUUAAUUUCCAUUUCAAGAUUUAAGUCGAAAUUUUAAAAAGUCGAAAUUUCGACUUUAUUCAUGUUGACUUUAAACUUGAAAUUUCAGUGUUUAAUGUCUAAGUUUUUAAUUUUAAUCUCCUUCCUGUAAUUAUGUUUUUUUCUCUUCUUGUGGCCCUAAUCUUCUUUGGUCCUGUCGUCUGUUGUCUGACGUUUUGCAUCAUAUUUUAAAUGAGGAAUCUUCUUGAAUCUGCUUCCUGACACUUCAUAAAAAGCAGUUUUUGCACAAAUGUACAUCAAACUGACCAAAUCUUUGGAUUUUCGGGGUGUGCAUGAUCAAAUUAAAGGAGAGUAUUGUCUGUUUGAACCAGCUGUUGUGUUUCCUUUUUUCUCCUAGAGUCUGAUCUUUCUGAACUCGAGGAUAACCGGGACACCUGCUGUCAAGAGGACCUGAAACAUGAAACAGAGACCUGCACAGAUCCUCGUCUGUACACCUCAGCAGAGAUGCAGCACGUCUGAACUUUAAAAACACACAGGCAGCCAGGCUGACAAGUGUUUGCAAACCUCAUGUCCUCCCACUCGCUGAGCAUCAGAAACACUCUGAAGGUUGUGUUUACAGUAUUGAAUUAGCGCCUGUGGUCUCGUUAAUGUGCGGCAUCGAGAGCCGAGCAGCAGGCAGGGCUUUGAUUGGAGCCGCUGCUGCUCUCGUAUAAUUCCUCGGCAAACAACGCUAUCAGGAACACCAAUGACCAGGCUGGGAUUAGUGCUGACAGAACCAUAAUUGGAUUUCCUGUACAGUUAAUUGAAUGAAGCUAAAUCUGUUCCUGCUGCAGUUUGUGUUUCAGCGUGGAGACAAAACUCUGAGGAUCCUCACAAACAUUUCUACCUGGAUGGAAGGAAAUAUUCUGAACACA